UACGUAGGGUGCGAGCGUUAAUCGGAAUUACUGGGCGUAAAGCGCGCGCAGGCGGUUCUCCAAGUCAGUGGUGAAAGCCCGGAGCUCAACUCCGGAAUUGCCAUUGAAACUGUAGAACUUGAGGACGAGAGAGGUGAGUGGAAUUCCCAGUGUAGAGGUGAAAUUCGUAGAUAUUGGGAAGAACACCGGUGGCGAAGGCGGCUCACUGGCUCGUUUCUGACGCUCAGGCGCGACAGCGUGGGGAUCAAACAGG
rnacentral:rRNA from 1 species